CGAAAGCCUGACGGAGCAACGCCGCGUGUGGGAAGAAGGCCUUUGGGCUGUCAACCACUUUUCUCAGGGAAGAAGUUCUGACGGUACCUGAGGAAUCAGCCUCGGCUAACUCCGUGCCAGCAGCCGCGGUAAUACGGAGGAGGCAAGCGUUAUUCGGAAUUAUUGGGCGUAAAGCGUCCGCAGGUGGCGAUUCAAGUCUGCUGUCAAAGCACGGGGCUUAACUCCGUUAAGGCAGUGGAAACUGAAUAGCUAGAGUGCCGUAGGGGUAGAGGGAAUUCCCGGUGUAGCGGUGAAAUGCGUAGAGAUCGGGAAGAACAUCGGUGGCGAAAGCGCUCUGCUAGACCGAAUCUGACGCUGAGGGACGAAAGCUAGGGGAGCG
rnacentral:rRNA from 1 species